UAGGGAAUCUUCCACAAUGGACGCAAGUCUGAUGGAGCAACGCCGCGUGAGUGAAGAAGGUUUUCGGAUCGUAAAGCUCUGUUGUUGGUGAAGAAGGAUAGAGGCAGUAACUGGUCUUUAUUUGACGGUAAUCAACCAGAAAGUCACGGSUWACUWCGUG
rnacentral:rRNA from 1 species